AAUACUUCUCCCGCGCACUCUCCACUUCCUGUUCGACGAGACAGAAGGUCUCCUUGCAGAGAACCAGAUAAUAGUUUUUUUUACGAAGAAGAAUAUUGCAGAGGGAGAAUCACUGAAUCAUUGCUCAAAUAGAGAUUGAGAAGGAAAUCUAGGGUUACAAGUGUUAUGCGACUCCAAAUCCAGCAUCAACUUUACUUGAGAAGGUGAAGAUUUCUUUCAAUUUGGAGAUAUCCAAGUCAACAUCGACCCUUAUUCGUUCGAGUAGGAGAAGAGAAGACCAAGAAGAACACAUCCAUGGAGUCGAUUGACUCUUCUGGUGAAGAAGAGUUCAACCAAUAUGUUAAGUGGAUUUGCAUUGGAAGAUGUACUGCAUUAUUAGAGAAUUUGAUUUUUCUUUAAGUUCUUGUACUAUUUAUA